rnacentral:lncRNA from 1 species
CUGGGGGUCAGUAUUGAUCCGUUAUUUAGUCGGGUUUCUUUAUCGGGGUUCUUUAUUAGUUUUUAGUUCAUUUUUUUUUUUUUUUUUGUUUAAGUAUUUUUAUGCUUUUCUUUCUUUGAUUUAGUAUGAUAUUGUUGGUAUGCGCUAAUACUACUAAUAAAUUACUAAAUUUCUAAUUUUAUUAUUAGAUUAUUAAUUAGAAAUUAGUUUCUAAUUUUACAGUUAAUUUCAUAGCAAAGAAAAAAGCCAAUAGAAAGGUUGUAGUUUUCUGCUCUUCGAUCUUCAUUUGGCUCUUCAUAAGUAAGAUAAGAUAAACAAAAAUAAUCAAUGGUUGAAUUUUAGAUCUUUGUAUUUCAAAAUUGUG